rnacentral:rRNA from 1 species
UACGUAGGGACCGAGCGUUGUCCGGAAUUAUUGGGCGUAAAGCGCGCGUAGGCGGCCAACUAAGUCCUGCGUGAAAUCUCGGGGCUCAACCCCGAGCGGUCGUGGGAAACUGGUUGGCUAGAGUGCGGGAGAGGAGAGUGGAAUUCCUGGUGUAGCGGUGAAAUGCGCAGAUAUCAGGAAGAACACCAGUGGCGAAGGCGGCUCUCUGGAACGCAACUGACGCUGAGACGCGAAAGCGUGGGGAGCAAACAGG